AACUUUCGGCAAUGGAUCACUUGGUUCUCGCAUCGAUGAAGAACACAGCGAAUUGCGAUAUGUAAUGUGAAUUGCAGAAUUCAGUGAAUCAUCGAAUCUUUGAACGCACCUUGCGCCCUUUGGUAUUCCGAAGGGCAUGCCUGUUUGAGUGUCAUUAAAUUCUCAACUUCAAAAUUCUUUUGUUUUGAAGCUUGGAUGUUGGAGGUCUUUUGCAGGCACACAUUAGUGUCAGCUCCUCUUAAAUGCAUUAGCAGAACUUUGUACGUUCGGCUCUGGUUUGAUAAUCCUAUCUAUGCCAUUGCUGAAAGGUCAAUAGAUCAGCUUCUAAUUGUCCAUGUAUUUGGACUGUCUCCUCGGAGGCAUCACCAUUGACUUGACCUCAAAUCAGGUAGGACUACCCGCUGAACUUAAGCAUAUCAAUAAGCGGAGGCU
rnacentral:misc_RNA from 1 species